rnacentral:rRNA from 1 species
CCUACGUGAGGCUGCAGUGAGGAAUAUUGGUCAAUGGCCGGAAGGCUGAACCAGCCAAGCCACGUGAAGGACGAAGGUGCCAAGCAUUGUAAACUUCUUUUGUCAAGGGACAAAAUCAGGCUCGAGAGCCUGACCGAGGGUACUUGAAGAAAAAGCAUCGGCUAACUCCGUGCAAGCAGCCGCGGUAAUACGGAGGAUGCGACCGUUAUCCGGAUUUAUUGGGUUUAAAGGGUGCGUAGGCGGGCUGUUAAGUCAGCGGUAAAAGCCCGGGGCUCAACCCCGGCGAGCCGUUGAAACUGGCUGUAUUGAGAUGGCGAGAGGUAUGCGGAAUGCGCAGUGUAGCGGUGAAAUGCAUAGAUAUCACACAGAACACCGAUUGCGAAGGCAUCUCACGAAUCCGCGAUUGACGCUGAUGCACGAAAGCGUGGGUAUCAAACAGGAUUAGAUACCCUUGUAGUC